AGUGGCGAACGGGUGAGUAACGCGUAGGCAACCUGCCCUCUGGUUGGGGACAACAUUCCGAAAGGGAUGCUAAUACCGAAUGAGAUCCUCUUUCCGCAUGGAGAGAGGAUGAAAGAUGGCCUCUACUUGUAAGCUAUCGCCAGAAGAUGGGCCUGCGUCUGAUUAGCUUGUAGGUGAGGUAACGGCUCACCUAGGCGAUGAUCAGUAGCCGGUCUGAGAGGAUGAACGGCCACAUUAGGACUGAGACACGGCCCAAACUCCUACGGGAGGCAGCAGUGGGGAAUCUUCCGCAAUGGACGAAAGUCUGACGGAGCAACGCCGCGUGAGUGAUGAAGGUCUUCGGAUUGUAAAACUCUGUUGUCAGGGACGAAAGCACCGAUCUAUAAUACAUUUUGGUGUUGACGGUACCUGACGAGGAAGCCACGGCUAACUACGUGCCAGCAGCCGCGGUAAUACGUAGGUGGUAAGCGUUGUCCGGAAUUAUUGGGCGUAAAGAGCAUGUAGGCGGGCUUUUAAGUCCGACGUGAAAAUGCGGGGCUUAACCCCGUAUGGCGUUGGAUACUGGAAGUCUUGAGUGCAGGAGAGGAAAGGGGAAUUCCCAGUGUAGCGGUGAAAUGCGUAGAUAUUGGGAGGAACACCAGUGGCGAAGGCGCCUUUCUGGACUGUGUCUGACGCUGAGAUGCGAAAGCCAGGGUAGCAAACGGGAUUAGAUACCCCGGUAGUCCUGGCCGUAAACGAUGGGUACUAGGUGU
rnacentral:rRNA from 1 species